GCGCUUUUAUGCCCGAAGGGAAAGUUGAUCUCUUGGGAACCAAAUUACCCAGAGAGUCUCUGCUUGAUUCGCCCCAGCAGUCAUCAAUAUUAAUAUACCGAUAGCCUAGCGCAGCGAGCCCGGUCGACACCAUCGCAUCCGCUGUUUUGCGGAUCAGAUCUUCGUUGAUAUCACAGUAGAAAUGGUUCCAGCUAUUCCACCCCAUCUGCGGGGUUCUUCCCAGACCGUUCUCCAGCACGGACCUCCUCUCGGUCGCCGGACCAGCAUCCGUCGCAACCCUACCGCCCAUCACCACCGCUGGCGCCGCCAGCAGUAACCAGCAGGACAUCAGAAACGCCACCAUCUUCUUCCGCUCUCUCCCCCUCAAGCUCCUGUGAAGAGUGUUGAUGGAUGGUAAGGGGAGCUCAGAGUCCGGCUUAUAUAGGCCUCGGGACGAGCGCGCCUUCUUCGCCAGUGUCGGCAGGGUGGUAGAUGGUGGACUGUGGGGUGUGAUGGAUGGAGAGGAUGG
rnacentral:misc_RNA from 1 species